AGCAAAUGUAUCAAUCCAGUGUCGAAAACACAACGAAUAUCCUCCUUAUCAAGUGGCAACGACUCCCUAGGAGCACUCUCAUGAGAUGGAGGAGGAAUCAUAUUGUUCUCAACACAAAAAUCAGCAAGCGAAUCAUAAUCAGAGUAACAAGCAAGAGGAGAAUUAUAGACACAGGUAGAAUAAGAAUUACUCACAUAGCCAAAAUAGGUAGACAUGUAGAAAGAAGGGGGAAAAGAAGAAUGCAAUGAAAAUAUGCAACUAAAGCUACCUAAAUGCAACACACAAUGACGAACACACAAAACGGAACAACACACUCACAACACGAGACAAAACACAACAAAAGACCUAAAACCGAACUGUUGGUCCCCGGCAACGGUGCCAAAAUUUUGAUGGGUGUCGCACCCCAUGCAAAAUUUAAUGUGCAUAAAAGAAUGCAGUAUAGACUAGGAAGUGACUCCUAGGUUGUCUCUCAAGGACCAAAUCGCGGUUCAAGAAUUAGGUCUAACACGAAGGGGGGGUUUGAAAUUUGUUUUUGUGAUAAGCAUUGAACUAAAUUAAAAUGAAAAUUAAACACAACCAAGUAUAAUUAAAAUCAUUAAAAUAAAGAUUAGAAUUAAAAUUGAAAUAAAAAUAAAAGAUAAGACACUAAAGAAAAUAAUCGACUGAAAAUUAAUUUAAACAUGCAUUGCAUAAGGAAAAUGAGACAUGGAAACACAGGGAAUGUAAAGAUAUAAUUAAUGCAUGAAUUGUAAAUUAAAAAAAAUAAAUUCUAAGUUAUCUAUCACAGCAUGUCAACACGAAAUCAACACUUAAAAAAAUGCAUGACAUUAAUAGUAAAAUAAAUUAGUAAACU
rnacentral:lncRNA from 1 species